rnacentral:rRNA from 1 species
AUACAGAGGGUGCGAGCGUUAAUCGGAAUUACUGGGCGUAAAGCGUGCGUAGGUGGUCUGUUAAGUCAGGUGUGAAAGCCCUGGGCUCAACCUAGGAACUGCAUUUGAUACUGGCAGACUAGAGUGUGGUAGAGGGUAGUGGAAUUCCCGGUGUAGCGGUGAAAUGCGUAGAUAUCGAGAGGAACAUCAGUGGCGAAGGCGGCUACCUGGACCAACACUGACACUGAGGUACGAAAGCGUGGGGAGCAAACAGGAUUAGAAACCCCAGUAGUCC